rnacentral:tRNA from 1 species
GCGGAGAUGGCGCAAUAGGUAGACGCACCAGAUUUAGAAUCUGGUAUCUUUUAAAGGUAUACGAGUUCAAAUCUCGUUCUCCGCA